AUGUGGCCAGUUUCUGACAAACCUAGGCCUCAAGCCCCAGCAUAUGCAACCAUACCAGACAACAUGCCAGGCAGGCCUAAGAAUAAUGAUAGGAGGAGGGAAGAAAUAGAGAAACCUAAGCCUAGCAAAAAAAUGACCAAGCAUGGCACUGUAAUUAUUUGCUCAAUCUGUGGGACUGCUGGACAUAACAAGAAAGGUUGCAAGCAAAAUCCAGAGAGAGGCAAGAAGAAGAAUGCCCAUCUUAAGAAGACUAGCAAAAAAAGGGACACAACAAAGGUAAAUUUCAUUGAUUUACAUGAGUUUUACUAUUUUCUCUUGAAUUUUACUAACUUCUUUUGA
rnacentral:rRNA from 1 species